rnacentral:tRNA from 2 species
UCUAAUAUGGCAGAAUAGUGCAAUGAAUUUAAGCUUCAUAUAUAAAGUCUAACCUUUUAUUAGAA